AAAGAGAGGAUAUUUAUUAUGCGUUUAAGAGUUUAUUAUUCACGAAGAAAAAGAGGGUAUACCUAUUACUGUAUAUAUUUAGGAGUUUGAUAUUUCGUAAUUAAGCCUUCGUGUUCCGAAACUUGCGAACAACCCAAAACACUAAUAGAAAAGUUGUGUAAAAAACAAAAUAAAGUGGAAAAGAAAAGAAAAGAAUGUGUUUGAUGUAGUUUAAAUAUGAAUAUUUUAGUAUUGAUAUGACUGUAGCGGUAAGCAUUUCGUACUCACUGAUCUUGCUAGAAAGAACGGAUGAGUAACAGGUACUCUACCACUUCACUCUCCAGACUUCAGACCUUCAGUCACACCUCUCUC
rnacentral:lncRNA from 1 species